rnacentral:misc_RNA from 1 species
GAUGAAGAACGUAGUGAAAUGCGAUAAGUAAUGUGAAUUGCAGAAUUCAGUGAAUCAUCGAAUCUUUGAACGCACAUUGCGCCCGCCAGUAUUCUGGCGGGCAUGCCUGUUCGAGCGUCAUUUCAACCAUCAAGCCCCAGGCUUGUGUUGGGGACCUGCGGCUGCCGCAGGCCCUGAAAACCAGUGGCGGGCUCGCUGUCACACCGGGCGUAGUAGAUUUUAUCUCGCUCAGGGCGUGCUGCGGGUUCCGGCCGUUAAAAAGCCUUUUUUACCCAAGGUUGACCUCGGAUCAGGUAGGAAGACCCGCUGAACUUAAGCAUACAAUAAGCGGAGGA